GAGAGAGAGAGAGAGAGAGAGAGAGAGAGAGAGACAGACAGACAGAGACAGAGAGAGAGAGAGAGAGAGAGAGAGAGAGAGAGAGAGACAGAGAGACAGAGAGAGAGAGAGAGAGAGAGAGAGAGAGAGAGAGAGAGAGAGAGAGAGACAGAGAGAGACAGACAGACAGAGAGACAGAGAGAGAGAGAGAGAGAGAGAGAGAGAGAGAGAGAGAGAGAGAGAGAGAGAGAGAGAGAGAGAGAGAGAGAGAGAGAGAGAGAGAGAGAGAGAGAGAGAGAGAGAGAGAGAGAGAGAGAGAGAGGAGAGAUGUUAACACAUUACUGUUCCGACUGUUGUCACUACCACAGCCCUGCAGGUCAACACUGUUCAGCUCUGGAGAACAUUAACAUACGGGUGUAUCCCUGUACAAACCCUCCUGUAGAGAAACCCUCCUGUAGGUUUUAACUCCAACCCUGUUCCUGGAGAGAAACCCUCCUGUAGGUUUUAACUCCAACCCUGUUCCUGGAGAGAAACCCUCCUGUAGAGAAACCCUCCUGUAGGUUUUAACUCCAACCCUGUUCCUGGAGAGAAACCCUCCUGUAGGUUUUAACUCCAACCCUGUUCCUGGAGAGAAACCCUCCUGUAGGUUUUAACUCCAACCCUGUUCCUGGAGAGAAACCCUCCUGUAGGUUUUAACUCCAACCCUGUUCCUGGAGAGAGACCCUCCUGUAGGUUGUAACUCCAACCCUGUUCCUGGAGAGAAACCCUCCUGUAGGUUUUAACUCCAACCCUGUUCCUGGAGAGAGACCCUCCUGUAGGUUUUAACUCCAACCCUGUUCCUGGAGAGAAACCCUCCUGUAGGUUUUAACUCCAACCCUGUUCCUGGAGAGAGACCCUCCUGUAGGUUUUAACUCCAACCCUGUUCCUGGAGAGAGACCCUCCUGUAGGUUUUAACUCCAACCCUGUUCCUGGAGAGAGACCCUCCUGUAGGUUUUAACUCCAACCCUGUUCCUGGAGAGAGACCCUCCUGUAGGUUGUAACUCCAACCCUGUUCCUGGAGAGAGACCCUCCUGUAGGUUGUAACUCCAACCCUGUUCCUGGAGAG